AUUUUACUCCAAAGUUAAAUUCGAGAGAAAGAUUAAGACAAACAAUCUUCAGUCAGCGUGGACUUUUAUUGGCUUGUACCGUGGCUAAAGGCUAAAAGGUAUUGAAAAAAAGGAUAAUGAAGGUCCAAAUAAGUGCUUGACGGUUAAAAUGCUUUAAGCAAGAAUCAUUUGCAAGGUGUCCAGUCAACUUGUCCUUAGGGAUUUGAACUUCAAGCACCCUUUAUUUUUCAUUGUCAUUUUCCUCCUUUUUUCUUUGGAUUAUUCUUUCAUUGCCCC
rnacentral:lncRNA from 1 species